UACAGAGGUCUCAAGCGUUGUUCGGAUUCAUUGGGCGUAAAGGGUCUGUAGGUGGCUUGCUAAGUCAGACGUGAAAUCCCUCGGCUUAACCGGGGAACUGCGUCUGAUACUGGCGAGCUUGAGUGCAGGAGAGGAACGCGGAAUUCCAGGUGUAGCGGUGAAAUGCGUAGAUAUCUGGAGGAACACCGGUGGCGAAGGCGGCGUUCUGGACUGCAACUGACACUGAGAGACGAAAGCCAGGGGAGCAAACGGG
rnacentral:rRNA from 1 species